GGAUGUGAGGACAAUCUGACAACAGGUUGUGCAACAUCUGUCACCCUAUUGAUCACCAGGAUUAAUUUGGCUGAUCGGGCUGGGCAGGAAACUGUCUCCUUUUUCACUCACCAUUCUUUGUGCAUCCGUCCUGAAGUUGCAUAGGACCUUCCCCAAGUAGAGAACUGACCAUUAUUCUGGCAAGGGUAUGAGAGUAGCUGUGCUCCCCCAUUAAAACCUCCAAGCAAGCUCUCCAGGUUUACUAAUUUGCGUGCCAUAAAAUGAAAAGUGGACUACUUUUUUCCUCUUGAAGGCAGUUGGUUUACAA
rnacentral:snRNA from 1 species